GCAUCGGUGGUGCAUGGUGCACGCUGCCCUUCGAUAUCACUUGUUUUCUUUGCACAGUUUUAGGCAGACCGGGGUUCGACUCCCCGCCAGUGCA